GACGUAGGGCGCGAGCGUUGUCCGGAUUUAUUGGGCGUAAAGAGCUCGUAGGCGGCUUGUCGCGUCGUCUGUGAAAUCCCGCGGCUCAACUGCGGGUCUGCAGUCGAUACGGGCAGGCUAGAGUUCGGUAGGGGAGACUGGAAUUCCUGGUGUAGCGGUGAAAUGCGCAGAUAUCAGGAAGAACACCCGUGGCGAAGGCGGCUCUCUGGGACGGUACUGACGCUGAGACGCGAAAGCGUGGGGAGCAAACAGG
rnacentral:rRNA from 1 species